AAGCUCGUAGUUGGAUUUCUGCUGGAAGCAGCCAGUCCGCCCUCAGGGGUGUGCACUUGGUGAAUUCUAGCAUCCUUCUGGAUUUCUCCACACUUCAUUGUGUGGAGUUUUUUCCAGGACUUUUACUUUGAGAAAAUUAGAGUGUUUCAAGCAGGCUUGUCGCCUUGAAUACUGCAGCAUGGAAUAAUAAGAUAGGAUUUCGGCCCUAUUUUGUUGGUUUCUAGGACUGAAGUAAUGAUUAAUAGGGACGGUUGGGGGCAUUCGUAUUUAACUGUCAGAGGUGAAAUUCUUAGAUUUGUUAAAGACGAACUACUGCGAAAACAUUUGCCAAAGAUGUUUUCAUUAAUCAAGAACGAAAGUUAGGGGCUCGAAGACGAUCAGAUACCGUCGUAGUCUUAACCAUAAACUAUGCCGACUAGAGAUAGGAAAACGUCAUGCUUGACUUCUCCUGCAC
rnacentral:rRNA from 1 species